rnacentral:rRNA from 1 species
UACGAAGGGGGCUAGCGUUGUUCGGAAUUACUGGGCGUAAAGCGCACGUAGGCGGAUUUGUUAGUCAGGGGUGAAAUCCCGAGGCUCAACCUCGGAACUGCCUUUGAUACUGCAGAUCUCGGGUCCGGAAGAGGUGAGUGGAAUUCCUAGUGUAGAGGUGAAAUUCGUAGAUAUUAGGAAGAACACCAGUGGCGAAGGCGGCUCACUGGUCCGGUACUGACGCUGAGGUGCGAAAGCGUGGGGAGCAAACAGG